AGUGAACGCUGGCGGUAGGCCUAACACAUGCAAGUCGAACGGCAGCACAGUAAGAGCUUGCUCUUACGGGUGGCGAGUGGCGGACGGGUGAGGAAUACAUCGGAAUCUACUUUUUCGUGGGGGAUAACGUAGGGAAACUUACGCUAAUACCGCAUACGACCUACGGGUGAAAGCAGGGGAUCUUCGGACCUUGCGCGAUUGAAUGAGCCGAUGUCGGAUUAGCUAGUUGGCGGGGUAAAGGCCCACCAAGGCGACGAUCCGUAGCUGGUCUGAGAGGAUGGUCGGCCACACGGGAGCUGAGACACGGUCCAGACUCCUACGGGAGGCAGCAGUGUGGAAUAUUGGACAAUGGGGGCAAGCCUGAUCCAGCCAUACCGCGUGGGUGAAGAAGGCCUUCGGGUUGUAAAGCCCUUUUGUUGGGAAAGAAAAGCAGCAGGUUAAUACCCCGCUGUUCUGACGGUACCCAAAGAAUAAGCACCGGCUAACUUCGUG
rnacentral:rRNA from 1 species